UUGACUAUUUCUUCAGGAUUGUAGGUCUCAUUCAAGACCACUCUGAAAGACUUAGUCAUCUUGAAUAAUAUCCUUUGAGCAGGAAUCUGGAAUAUGAGUGCUUUCUCUACACAAGGUGGGUGGUGGGUGCCUCAGUUCCCCAGAAUGUUAGUCCUGUGAUCUUUAAGCCCUGUCCAACUCUGGCAUACUGUAAUUCUCGGAGUGGUCAGUCAUCUGGGUUUAUCUUACUAUUACUUUGCCUUACUAUUGCAGCAUUGCCGUGCCUAAAGAUCACUCAACAAACAUUUGCUGUGUGCCCAGGGCAGGUCUCUGCUGAUUUGCCUUGAUAUAAAGCCGUUCCUGGCCACAUCUAAGCUGGCUCAGUGAGAACAGUCAUCUUGAAAGAAAAGGUUAGGUGUUCUUUUAUGAACACUCUCUAGUCUUUCACUCAAAGGAAAGUUCAGUAGUUGAGUCUUUUCAAAAUAGAGGAACAGUCUUUUGUUGUUGUUGUUGUUUUGAAACAGUCUUAGCUAUGUCAUCACCCAGGCUGGAGUGCAGUGGUGCAGUCUCGGCUCACUGCAACCUCAACCUUCUGGGCUCAAGUGAUCCCCCCACCUCAGCCUCCUGAGUAGCUGGGACCAUAGGUGUGCACCAUCACACCCAGGUAAUUUUUUGUAUGUUUUGUAGAGAUUAGAUUUCCCCAUGAUGCCCUGGCUGAUCUUGAACUCCAGAGCUCAAGCAAUCUGUCUGCCUUGGCCUCCCAAAGUGCUGGGAUUAUAGGUGUCAGCCACUGUGCUCAGCCAGAACCACAGUCUUAUAUUUCUUUAUAGUUAUGAUUUUAAAUACUACCAUAAAAUUUUUAUUUACCUAUUAUAUAAUAUGUUUUUUGUACUCUAAUCAUGUUGGAUGAGAAUCAUCUUGGUUAAGUCUGACCACAAAAGCAAAGCUAGCCUUACCAUGCUGUACAGGGUUUAUUUCAUUUUCCAUUGCCAUUUGCUUCUUUCCCAAAUUUAACUUUAGGACUGUCUAUGUAUAGUAGUAAAGAAGGAUAUCUCCCAGGGGUUGUAAGAAGUGCCCCAUAAUUAUCUGUGGUAGACAGACACCAUUUCAAAACAAGCAAACAAAUAAAAACUAUUCCCAGGACAAGUGACAUCAGACUGAAAAUCAGUUUCAAUUUUUAUUUUUUCCCAUCAUUUUGCCACUUUUAUCUGCCUAUUAAAAUAAUUUAAAAAUUUUGAUCAUCUGAACUCCUCAUCAGCAGCCUAGCAUAAUGAUGAAGAGUACAGAUUCUGGAGUCAAACUGCCUUGUUUGAUCAUAACCCCAAGGUUUAUUUGCUGUGUCAUCUUGGACAAGUUACCUAACUGUUUUCAGUCUUCUUGUUUGUAAACAAGGAUGACCACUUCCACUUCAUAGUUUCUUUUUUUUUUUUUUUGAGACAGAGUCUUGCUCUGUUGCCCAGGCUGGAGUGCAGUGGCAUAAUUUCAGCUCACUGCAAGCUCCCCCUCCCGGGUUCACACCAUUCUCCUGCCUCAGCCUCCCGAGUAGCUGGGACUACAGGUGCCCACCACCACACCCGGCUAAUUUUUUUCUAUUUUUAGUAGAGACGGGGUUUCACCGCGUUAGCCGGGAUGGUCUUGAUCUCCUGACCUCAUUAUCCGCCCACCUCAGCCUCCCAAAGUGCUGGGAUUACAGGCAUGAGCCACCGCACCCGGCCCCACCUCAUGGUUUCAAUGCAGAUCAAAUGAAUUAAAGUGUGUAAAGCUCUUCAGACAGGGCUUGUCACAUGGAAACAAAUGUGAACGAGUGCUGUCGUCCUUGUGGAGUAUCUAUUUGACUUGUAUAUUUGGUGAUUGUUAUUAUCUGUGGGAAAUACUGGGUAUUGAUAUUUGGCUCGUUUCCUUUUUGUAGUAAUUUUAAAUUUGUAUUAAAUAUGUUUCUCAGAGAAAUGAUUGCUUUCAGCAUUCUCAGAAGGCGCAGAGCUGCUGAUUAUGUGUAAAGGGUGACAACAUUCUAUGACUGAGCUUCUAAGGUCCUUUGGGCUUGAGAGCAAAAAGCCGGCAAUGCUUUAAAGUGCUGGCUGGUAAAGCAGAGCCUGAGAGGGGGGUUGGAGACCAUUUGCAAAAUGGUCCUGUGGGUGCCCACACAAGGGCUGUCAGGGAACAUGUGCACAGUCUGAGGGCUGGCCUGCCUUCUUGCUAUGAUAACCCAUCCAUGGUCACUCCCUCCACGCCGUUCUACACUCGCUUUUCUCUUCUGCUCUCACCAAUCAACAGGUGACUAUAGACGUUGCCAGGUUUAAGAAACAGAUUUCUUGUGGUUUAUUUUCUUAGCUGAAUACACAGUAAGACCUUGAUAUAUUUACAUUUUGUCACUAGUUUUAUAACAUCUAGAUCACAUUCACAAAAAUCAUCAUAAAAUGUGAUGGAUGGUGUAUAUGGGCAGUUUUGUUUUAAGAACUGAUGCCUUUUUCCUAGAAGAUAAACAAACCACAGCUGAGCAUCUUUAGAUUUGUGCUGAGUGAUUGCUAAAAAUAUCUUGCCUGGAGAUUGGUUUUUGAUGGAGAAUUAGAAUCAGCCCUUUGAAUUUCAGUCAUGCGAAUCUUCCCCUUUUGACAUUAAUGAGGCACGGGUUACAACUAAUAUUUACCAGUUGAGUGAUAAGAAAAUGAGAAAAUACUCUUAGAAAAGGUCUAAGAAUAUUUUAAGCCAUCUUUCUCUGUCUAGACUUGUGUGUUUAGUCUGUCGUGUGUAGAAUUAUAGCUUAAUUGUAUGUGCCUAGAAUACAUCAACUGCUCUAUGACAGGGAGUAAUGAAUGUGUUUUCAGCCCUGCUCCAACCAUUAAACAAUAAGGCACACAAAUAUAUGUUCUAGCGGCAUUCAAGGGGCUGACUCACCCUCAGGGAACCUGCAAUUUCAGAGGGACAGCCGAUUCUUUAUCCUCAUGUUUUCUGUGUUGCUUACGCACACACACAGGUCUAGGUACUUGUCCCCAUGCCCAUGGGGCUCUGCUCAUCUUUCCUCAUUGCAUCAUCAUACAAGGUUGUAGGGGGAAUGGUGGUGUGUUAGAAGAAAAUGACAAAUAGAGAGCAUUAUUUUCGUUAAGGUAACCAGAUCUCUGUUUAAUAUUCCUUGAGGUCAUUGCUGCCUGCCUGGGAAGGAGAGUCCCAUUUUAAUGCAAAUCCCUAGCCUUUCUCCCACUUGCCCUGUGCCCUGAGCCCUCCUGGCCCAGUUGCAGGGGACAGAGUGAUCGGCAGCUCCUCAUGCUGUCCGCUGUCACCCCAGUGCUCCCGUUGAGACUUUGCCGCCUUAGCAGCAGACUGCCCAGUCACCCCCACCUGCAUCCUUCUGUAGCGGUGAAAGAGCCAGACCUUCCAAGGAGAAGAUUAGAAUUUUAUAGUGUACGCAGCAUAAGGCAUAAUUCCUGUUAGCUUUACAUCUUGGUCCACUUUCAAAUUUCAGGAUUCUUUAUAUCCAGAUCCUCACAAGGUGAAUUUUUUCCCUUGGUGCAGGUAUGGCCAGCAGAAAGGAAUAAAAUGGCGUUUCACUGCCGUGUUCAGGCUUCCUCAUUCCUCAGGGUAGUUAAUAAUGGCUCAUUCAGACCACCCUAGAAAUACCUAUUCAUCUCACUUUUUUUUUUUUUUUUAAGAGUGGAAAGGAUGUUUUACUCUGCUGACUGUAAUGGCUCUCACGCAGUUCCUAAUGGGCACUGUGGAACCACUCAGCAUAGACAGGCAUAGGCAGGAAGGUAGCAGAAAACUGGCUGCCUGGGCCCGGGAGCCAUUUUAGGAGAUGUCAAUAACCCCUCCAUUAAACCCAACUAAGUGCGUUCCACGACAGCUGCUAACCAAGGACAGCACCUCAUGCUGAGUGCCACAGCUUUUGUCUUCAUCUCCAGAGACCAAAGAGAGCUCAUGAUUUUUGUUAGUAGAGUUUUUUUUUAAAGGUUUUUUUUAAGUAUGCAACAACAGCAAACCAUCAAGCAAGCACAGUCCCUUUGCUUUUUCUGCCUGCUUUUUGGUCUUCCUCUGGGGCAGUUUGUUCAGCACCUAUGGUAGCAUACUAGAAAUAAUGGUGGAAGAUGAAGAAUAAAGCAUAAACUAAUAGAUCGCUUUAAAAAUGCCAAGUAAUGUUUUCGAGUGCUUAUUAAUAAGAAAGCAACUGUAAGGGAAUAUUUGGAAGAAUGAAGUAUUUCCCACUAUUUAUAAUUUUGUUGGGAAAAUAAGUCAUUCACAGCUUUAAAAUUCAUUGUGUUGUUCAACAAAGAAAGAGAGUUUCUUUUUAUUUUUUUUAAAUCUCUUUUUGUUUUUGAGACAGGGUCUCCCUCUGUCACCCAGGCUGGAGUGCAGUGGUGCAAUUACAGCUCACUGCAGCCUCUGCCUCCUGGGAUGAAGCUAUCCUCUCGUCUCAGCCUCUGAAAUAGCCGGGACUACAAGCCUGCCACUAUGCCCAGCUAAUUUGGUUUUUUUUUUUUUUUUUUUUUUUUGAGACAGAGUCUUGCUCUGUCACCCAGGCUGGAGUGCAGUGGCGCGAUCUCAGCUCACUGCAAGCUCCGCCUCCCAGGUUCACACCAUUCUCCUGCCUCAGCCUCCCGAGUAGCUGGGACUACAGGCGCCCGCCACCGCACCCGGCUAAUUUUUUGUAUUUUUAGUAGAGACAGGGUUUCACUGUGUUAGCCAGGAUGGUCUCGAUCUCCUGACCUCGUGAUCUGCCCGCCUCGGCCUCCCAAAGUGCUGGGAUUACAGGCGUGAACCACCGCGCCCGGCCUAUGCCCAGCUAGUUUUUAAAUUAUUUUGUAGAGAAGGAGUCUCACUCUGUUGCCCAGUCUGGUCUUGAAGUCCUGGCCUCAAGCUGUCCUCCUGCCCCGGCUUCCCAAAGUGUUGAGAUUACAGGUGUGAGUCACCCUGCCCAUUAUGAGAGUUCUCUUAAUUUGCAAACUAUGUAUAUGUGUCAGAGAGAGAGACAGAGAGAGAGAGAGAAAGAGAGAGUGUGUGUGUGUCUAAUUCCUAAAGAAGAAAGGGGUGAGAAUGGAGAGUAUAAUAAGCAUUGCAUUUUGAUUGUUCAACCAUGGGUUUAGUCACAAUGACAAAGGUUACCCAGGUACCAGCACCCCACUCCCAGCUGCAGCCCAGGACUAAUUAAAUGCUACCUAGGCAACGAUCAAGUAUCCCCAAACAUCAUACUCCAGGGCUUACCCCUUUUGUUUUCUUGGCUGUGAUCUAAGGGUAAUUUCUAUUGCAUGUGAAGUCAGAUUUCCUUGGUCUGAGAGAAACGUGAGAAAGUAAGAGGUACUCUGGGGAAGCGCACUUAGUGCACCACAGAGACUGCAGAAAUUAACAUAAAUACAAGACAAUAAUAAUGCUAUUUUAAUAAACUCUUCUAGGUUAAAGGAUUGCCUAUAGUCAGGACUGGUGAAAUUGAUGCUUAUAGAAAAUGCAACAAGAACGUCUACAUAUGAUUUAAAAAUAAAAGUAUGUAAUUAGGAAUGAACAUUGAAAAGCUAGGGUAGUGUUUUAUUGAAUGUGGCUCCUCUCUGCAGUUGUACCGCACCUCAUUUGAAACACUCAAGCUGAGGUUGCCUCUCAAAAUUGCUGCCUUGCAUUCCUGAGGGGUUAAGAUGAAAUAUGAACAUCCUGAGGACUGUCUUUGUUGUCAUAGAGGAAAGUCCUCUAAACACGCACUUUGCCGUUAAUCUGGCCGUUUCUUUCUCGAUACAACAGGUUUUCAAUGGGAGCUGUGAGUAAACACGCCACUGUUGAGCAUUGUGGCUCAAAUUCAGAUUUCUUGUUGGCUUCUCACGUGGAUAGUGCGAGGAAGGAACAGCUAUUCCCCUGAGGGAGCAACACGUUUUUAGUGCACCUGGCCCCAGGAACACUGCUCUACAUAGAUAUGGCUUUUUGGAUCCUGAAGUAUAUCCAUCAAUGAGAAUGUCACAUUUGGAGAAGUUAUCCUUAUUGCAAUAAAAUUAAAGAUCAAAUAAGUUCUGGAACCCAGGCGAACAAUGCUUUCUUAGUGCAGAGCUAUUUUGAGCAGUUGUCUCUUGUGCCUUUUAAAAACCUCUCACUUGGAAGUUUUGAUGUGUGAAAGAUGUGAAAACUGCCUAAGAGAAUUCUUCCUCUUUUUAAUGGAGCUCCAUGCCUGUUUAGGGAUGAUGUAGCAACCGCUCUUUUAUCUAGAAUUCCAGAUAGUUUCUCAGCUCAAAUACUAGGAGUUUUUGGCGGUGCAAUUCAAUUGAAAGUGGUAUUUGGUGUGAAGUUCCAGCAGCCCCACAAGAUGCUCAAGUGCCUUGUGGUUAGUUUAGUAUAAUGUGCAUAUGUGUUUGUGUGUGUGUGUUUGCAUACAUGAGAGAAAGAGAGAGAAUACCUUAUCCUGUUCACAUCUAUUGUAAAGGAGACAAUCCUUUCAUUUUAUAUGGUAUCUCCUUUUAGAAGGUGUCCUAUUAUCAGCCAAUCUGUCAUUAAUUAUUUAUGUUCCUGCAGCAAGGCACAGUUCAGUUCCUAGUUCUGCAGGCCAUAAGAAGACUUGUAAGUAAAUCCUGUCUUCAGUUGUUUACAAUUGAGUAUGGAAAUAAGAUAACUAAUGAAACAAGCCAGUCUAUAAUAAGUGCCAAAUGAGAAUUUUGCAAGGAGUUCCUUCUGUAAAUUCUAUUUGUUCAGGUUAUUUUAAAAAAAAUCUAUGUGCAUAAAAAAAGCAUUAAAAUAAUAUUAUCCAUGCAAAUUGAGGCAUAAAUGCAACAGAUCAUAAUGCACUGAAUUAUCUUUGUGACCAGGGAAUUUUGAAUCCAGCCUGAAUUAAAAUAUUUCCUAGUUUGGAGCUACAUUUUAGAUUAAGACCAUUAAUUGAAUGAUGAAGAGUUAGAAUUGAUAAUUUAAGAAUUCACCCUUCUGAAAUCAUGUGAGAACAAAACUCCUGACCUGGAUGUAUAAGCUUAAUUUCAAUAUUGUCUUUAUCUUUGAGUUCUGGAAAAUUGUCCAUUGGCAGACUCUGAAGACACUAGGGAAGAGAUUGUGAAAGUGAAAUGUUUUAAGGAAAUAAAUGUGAAGUAAUUGUUUCACUGCCCUGAGGCUAGAAUGGGCACUUUGGAGAGUGUCUGGUUCAGCUGUCCCUGUGUUGAGGGAAGCAGGGAGGGGACACCAAUUGCAAGCUGCUUUCCAGGACCCUUCCCCCUCCAGAGAGACCAGGAAGCCUGACCUAGUGCAGCAGCUCUGGGCCACACCUGAGACCACUGUUGCCCCUGGUGCUCCCUGAAGAGUUGCUGUCAGUCCUUUCCUUUUCUGUAAAAUAAAGGGAUUAGGCUAGAUCAGGUCAUCUUAACUUUGUUCUGCCAGCCAUUAGUUCUGCAAAACAUUAAUAGUCAGUGGAAAAGAAUUUCAUGGUGACAUAAGUUUGAAAACUGUGACAUACUCAAUCUAAUUUUUUUAGGAGGCAUAAAUUAUAUGUGUAUAAACUUGUUCAAUUUUGUCUAACCAUACAUUUCCUUAGCCUAUUUGACUAGUCACUUCUAUCACCACUCUCUCCCAUGGAUCUAGAUUCCUGUAGAACACAAUUUGGGAAAGGAUGGAUUAAAUGAUUGCUGAGUCCCUUCCAGUUUUUUUAUUCCAUUAUUCUAUGAAUUUUUACCAAAUUGCCUCAUCACUCGUAUGUAGAUGGGAGCUUGUCUUACUUCAUUUAGCUUACAGUGGCUUUUAAUCCAGGCUUUAAAAUAUCAGUGAAAGAAUUUCAUUUAGAAAAAACUGCCUGUCCCAUCCAUGAGGAAUCUUAAUUUUAGGAACGAUGCACAGCUUUAUGACACUCAGGCUGAUUUCCCAGUUUGGGAAUUCUUGGCCCUGGCUUUUCCCACCUGUCUUUACCUUGCAGAAAAACCAAACAAGACAAAACUUAAUCAUGUUUGCACAAUGUCAAGCACUUGCAUAGAGACUAUCCCCAAAGUCAGCUCAUGGGCGUUUUAUCUUCAUGGUGCCAAAUAGGAAAUAGCUACAUAUGUUUCCUAUUAAAAUGAGAAUUUCCGUGUUGGUGUCUGGUGUUGCACUGAGCUUCAGGUUAGCUGCUUAUUCACUGCUCUUUGGAAGGAGGCUGAAGAUUGCACCUCAAGAGUUCUAGGGAUUAUCUGCAGGUUGAAGGUGUAAAAAUUCCCAGGCGCAUUGUUUGUUAUCGCUAACUGCGGAUGGCCUGAAUUUUAAUAAGCAUGGUCAACUGUGCAUAUCUUGUCAUGUGAACUACCAAUUAGCACACCAUAAUUUAACAAGUUAGUACAUGCAGAUAUGAACACCCUUGGGAAGGAAGCAAUUUUCAAAUCAGAUUAUUACUGACAGCGUACAGUUUACAUGCAGGUAAUCAUUAUCAGAAAGUCAUGAUUAUCCAGAAGGAAAAGUGAUUUUUGUGAUAAUACAUCUUUGAAUGGCUGUUGAUUUUUAAUACCUUUAAGGUAAAAACUUCAAUUUGUUCCCUCCCUAAUUUGAUCAUAUUUGCAAAAAAGUGUUAAUUCGCUCAUUAAAACCUAGGCGUCUGAUGGGUACAGCAAACCACCAUGGCACAUGUAUAUCUAUGUAACAAACUUGCACAUUUUGCACAUGUAUCCCAGAACUUAAAGUAUAAUUUUAAAAAAGUUAAAAAAAACCUAGGUGUGAUAUUAUGUGUUUACAACAAACCUUACCAAGUAUUCUAAAAUAACAGAAAGAAAUAAUUUAUGUACAAUAACAACAUUAAUGAUAAUAUCUCUAUAGAUAAUAUGUUUUGGUUAAUCAAAUAUUCUAGCUAAUCAAGAGUUGCCAAUAAUCCCUCAUGGGAUUAUUAUUUUUCAAAGUUGUAGAAUCCAAUAAUACAGUCAUUUCUUUUAUACAAACACCUAAAAUUUAUCUAGAAUUAACUUAGAAUUUCCUAAACCAAAUUUAUACAUUAGCCCAACAUAUACUUAAAUUAUUUAUAAAGACAUGAACUUACAAAUCUGUUGUUUCUUCCCCCACCCAAAUAGAAUAAUAUCUUCAAAGAGAGUCUUUUUUUAAAAAAGGACAUAUUGUUCCCCUUAGGCAGAUACUGGCAUUUUAUUGAAAUAUAGUUCAAGAGACAUGCAUUCAGGCAAGAUGAGUGCACACCAUGCCGCCUACUUGGAACCCAAACUCAGAACAAUGGAAUUGAAUCUUCCUUGGAAGACUCAGGAGGAAGAUCAUCUUCCUGUGCCUCAGGGUCCUCACGAUGAAACCGUAUUGGUAAUUAUGCUGUAAACAUGAGGGUGUGCGGAUUAGUAGCGAUUUCUUAUUACUGAAACAUUAGUGAGCAAACUAUUUUGAGGUGGUGUCCUCAAUACUAAUAUGAUUGUGCUUCAAUAUAGAACAAGGAAUAUCCCUGAAUAUAGUGCUUCUGAAAAAGAGUCAUUGAUUGCAGAUAUUGUUUAAAAAAAAAAAAACACUCAAAACUGCUACAGAGAAAAAACAAAGUGUAAAAAAAGAGACCAUGGCUAUCUUCUAGUUUAUUUGAAGAAAAUACCUGAGUUUGCAAGUAUGCACUAGCCCACUGCAUUUGCACUGUCCUGAUGUACAUACAGUGGGGUGCACCCACCUCUAAGUCCCAACCAUUUUUUUCUUUCUACUUCCUGUAUCCCCUUGCCUAUGAAAACAUAAUUUUUAUUUUAUUUUAUUUUUUGAGACAGGGUUUCACUCUGCACCGAGGCUGGAGUGCAGCAACACCGUCACGGUUCACAGUAGCCUUGAACUCCUGGGCUCCAGUAAUCUUCCCACCUCAGCUUCCUAAGUAUCUAGGGCUGUAGGCACACGCCAAGGCAAACAACUAAUUUUAUAUUUUCAUUUUUUAAUUUGUGUAGAGACAGGGCCUUGCUAAGUUGCCCAGGCUGGUCUCAAUCUCCUGGCCUCAAGCAGUCCUUCUGCCUUGGCCUCCCAAAGUGCUGGGAUUACAGUGUGAGCCACUGCAUUUGGCUGAAAACGUAAUUUUUUAAAUAGACAAUUGCCUUAUCCAUUGCACCAUCUCCCUCCAAAUAAGCUAAUAAACACAAAAAUCCAACCAAAAGGUAAAAGAGAUGAAAAGUGAGAUUUUUUUUAAAGGCUUAAUCACUUGUGCUUUAAGAUUUAUCUGGAAUAUCUUUAGAUCCUAGGAAGAGACAAGGUUGUCUACCUAAUUGUGUAGCCAUUUACAUGUACAUAGGUAAUUGCGUGUGUGUGUGUGUGUGUGUGUGUGUGUGUGUGUGUAUGUGUAUGGCUUUGUUUUUAUAUUAUAUCAAAAUAUAUUUCGCUUUUCAAGAAGCAUUAGAAGAUCCAAGUAAAUAGGGCCGAGUGUGGUGGCUCACGCCUGUAAUCCCAGCACUUUGGGAGGCCAAGGUGGGCAGAUCACUUGAGAUCAGGACUUCAAGACCAGCCUGGCCAACACAGAGAAACCCUGUCUCUACUAAAAAUAGAAAAAAUUAGCCAGGCAUGUUGGCAGGCACCUGUAGUCCCAGCUACUCGGGAGGCUGAGGCAGGAAAAUCGCUUGAACCUGGGAGGCAGAGAUUGCAGUGAGCCGAGAUUGUGCCACUGCACUCUAGCCUGGCUGACAGAGCGAGACUCCGUCUCAAAAAAAAAAAAGUAAA